AUUGAACGCUGGCGGCAGGCCUAACACAUGCAAGUCGAGCGGACGAAGGGAGCUUGCUCCUGGAUUCAGCGGCGGACGGGUGAGUAAUUCCUAGGAAUCUGCCUGGUAGUGGGGGAUAACGUCCGGAAACGGGCGCUAAUACCGCAUACGUCCUGAGGGUGAAAGUGGGGGAUCUUCGGACCUCACGCUAUCAGAUGAGCCUAGGUCGGAUUAGCUAGUUGGUGGGGUAAAGGCCUACCAAGGCGACGAUCCGUAACUGGUCUGAGAGGAUGAUCAGUCACACUGGAACUGAGACACGGUCCAGACUCCUACGGGAGGCAGCAGUAGGGAAUAUUGGACAAUGGGCGAAAGCCUGAUGCAGCCAUGCCGCGUGUGUGAAGAAGGUCUUCGGAUUGUAAAGCACUUUAAGUUGGGAGGAAGGGCAGUAAGUUAAUACCUUGCUGUUUUGACGUUACCAAAAGAGUAAGCACCGGCUAACUUCGUG
rnacentral:rRNA from 1 species